AAGAUCAGGUUGGCCGGGGCCCUAUGACAGUUCUAGACUUCUAGUUGGCGUCAGUAUAAUGAACGGAUAGAUCUUAGGUGAUGGAAGAAAGGGGUCUUACACUGCAUGCUGCUCUGUCUUCAUUUUGACAAGCAUUGGAAAGUCCAAAUACGAGCAAUCACUUGACUCUAUUUGACGGUUUAUUGCUAUUGCUGAGAGGGAGCUUGAAAUAUGUUAUAGACAUGUGGCACUUUAUGGCGACCCAAAUGCCCAGGAUCCGAACUCAAAUCCUUGAUAAACCAAGACCGAUAGAGUCGGCAAGGUUAAGUGAAAAGAGGACGCAUCUUUAUCCACCGAAGAAUGUUCUCAAAAUUUGUUUCAAACAGAACUUGAUAUGAUAGAUGAUGAAAUCUCAGAAUCUGAAGAAGUCUCUGAAUUUGAUGGUUAAGUGCUACAUAAUGAUGCAUCUGCAAGUGAAAUAGAUUAUGAGGACGAUGGAACUCAUAUUAGGGAAUUAUGGUCUUGUGAUCCUCUUCCACUAGAAUACUAGGUUUAGGAUCUGUACAUCAACAUCAAUCGAAUGCUAAUAAUUGAGAAUUUUCUCUGAGUA